GGGUGUGACUGCGUACCUUUUGUAUAAUGGGUCAGCGACUUAUAUUCUGUAGCAAGGUUAACCGAAUAGGGGAGCCGGAGGGAAACCGAGUCUUAAUUGGGCGUUAAGUUGCAGGGUAUAGACCCGAAACCCGGUGAUCUAGCCAUGGGCAGGUUGAAGGUUGGGUAACACUAACUGGAGGACCGAACCGACUAAUGUUGAAAAAUUAGCGGAUGACCUGUGGCUGGGGGUGAAAGGCCAAUCAAACCGGGAGAUAGCUGGUUCUCCCCGAAAGCUAUUUAGGUAGCGCCUCGUGAAUUCAUCUCCGGGGGUAGAGCACUGUUUCGGCUAGGGGGCCAUCCCGGCUUACCAACCCGAUGCAAACUGCGAAUACCGGAGAAUGUUAUCACGGGAGACACACGGCGGGUGCUAACGUCCGUCGUGAAGAGGGAAACAACCCAGACCGCCAGCUAAGGUCCCAAAGUCAUGGUUAAGUGGGAAACGAUGUGGGAAGGCCCAGACAGCCAGGAUGUUGGCUUAGAAGCAGCCAUCAUUUAAAGAAAGCGUAAUAGCUCACUGGUCGAGUCGGCCUGCGCGGAAGAUGUAACGGGGCUAAACCAUGCACCGAAGCUGCGGCAGCGACACUCAGGUGUUGUUGGGUAGGGGAGCGUUCUGUAAGCCUGCGAAGGUGGCCUGUGAGGGUUGCUGGAGGUAUCAGAAGUGCGAAUGCUGACAUAAGUAACGAUAAAGCGGGUGAAAAGCCCGCUCGCCGGAAGACCAAGGGUUCCUGUCCAACGUUAAUCGGGGCAGGGUGAGUCGACCCCUAAGGCGAGGCCGAAAGGCGUAGUCGAUGGGAAACGGGUUAAUAUUCCCGUACUUGGUGUUACUGCGAAGGGGGGACGGAGAAGGCUAUGUUGGCCGGGCGACGGUUGUCCCGGUUUAAGCGUGUAGGUGUGUGUUCCAGGUAAAUCCGGUUCACUUUAACACUGAGGCGUGACGACGAGGCACUACGGUGCUGAAGCAACAAAUGCCCUGCUUCCAGGAAAAGCCUCUAAGCAUCAGGUAACAUCAAAUCGUACCCCAAACCGACACAGGUGGUCAGGUAGAGAAUACCAAGGCGCUUGAGAGAACUCGGGUGAAGGAACUAGGCAAAAUGGUGCCGUAACUUCGGGAGAAGGCACGCUGACACGUAGGUGAAGUGAUUUACUCAUGGAGCUGAAGUCAGUCGAAGAUACCAGCUGGCUGCAACUGUUUAUUAAAAACACAGCACUGUGCAAACACGAAAGUGGACGUAUACGGUGUGACGCCUGCCCGGUGCCGGAAGGUUAAUUGAUGGGGUCAGCGCAAGCGAAGCUCCUGAUCGAAGCCCCGGUAAACGGCGGCCGUAACUAUAACGGUCCUAAGGUAGCGAAAUUCCUUGUCGGGUAAGUUCCGACCUGCACGAAUGGCGUAAUGAUGGCCAGGCUGUCUCCACCCGAGACUCAGUGAAAUUGAACUCGCUGUGAAGAUGCAGUGUACCCGCGGCAAGACGGAAAGACCCCGUGAACCUUUACUAUAGCUUGACACUGAACAUUGAGCCUUGAUGUGUAGGAUAGGUGGGAGGCUUUGAAGUGUGGACGCCAGUCUGCAUGGAGCCGACCUUGAAAUACCACCCUUUAAUGUUUGAUGUUCUAACGUGGACCCGUGAUCCGGGUUGCGGACAGUGUCUGGUGGGUAGUUUGACUGGGGCGGUCUCCUCCUAAAGAGUAACGGAGGAGCACGAAGGUUGGCUAAUCCUGGUCGGACAUCAGGAGGUUAGUGCAAUGGCAUAAGCCAGCUUGACUGCGAGCGUGACGGCGCGAGCAGGUGCGAAAGCAGGUCAUAGUGAUCCGGUGGUUCUGAAUGGAAGGGCCAUCGCUCAACGGAUAAAAGGUACUCCGGGGAUAACAGGCUGAUACCGCCCAAGAGUUCAUAUCGACGGCGGUGUUUGGCACCUCGAUGUCGGCUCAUCACAUCCUGGGGCUGAAGUAGGUCCCAAGGGUAUGGCUGUUCGCCAUUUAAAGUGGUACGCGAGCUGGGUUUAGAACGUCGUGAGACAGUUCGGUCCCUAUCUGCCGUGGGCGCUGGAGAACUGAGGGGGGCUGCUCCUAGUACGAGAGGACCGGAGUGGACGCAUCACUGGUGUUCGGGUUGUCAUGCCAAUGGCACUGCCCGGUAGCUAAAUGCGGAAGAGAUAAGUGCUGAAAGCAUCUAAGCACGAAACUUGCCCCGAGAUGAGUUCU
rnacentral:rRNA from 1 species